UACGUAGGGUGCGAGCGUUGUCCGGAAUUACUGGGCGUAAAGAGCUCGUAGGUGGUUUGUCGCGUUGUUCGUGAAAACUCACAGCUCAACUGUGGGCGUGCGGGCGAUACGGGGCAGACUGGAGUACUGCAGGGGAGACUGGAAUUCCUGGUGUAGCGGUGGAAUGCGCAGAUAUCGAGAGGAACACCUGCGGCGAAGGCGGGUUGCUGGGCUGAUACUGACGCUGAGGCGCGAAAGCCAGGGAGCGAACGGG
rnacentral:rRNA from 1 species